rnacentral:lncRNA from 1 species
UGUUGAUUUCCACUUUGCGGAGUGUCUCCAAUAUCUCUUUUUCCUCUUUCUCCUUUUGGGACCUUGCAAAUCUCUUUGGGAAGGGAGGAGGUACCUUGAAUUUCUCCAUAGGUUGCUGUUUCUGCCUUUGACUUGAUUAUGCCUGGUCUGUUGAUUUGGGCAAAUUACUUUCUGCCUUCUCUGGUGAAUUGGGCAAAUCACUGCUGGACAGCUUAGUUUGCCCAGCGAUCGGGUCAGUUCCUCCGAGUGAAUUGGGAAAAUCACUGCCCUGAUCACUUUCUGGCAGAAUUUCUUCCAUGGUCUGUUUUUGCAAUUUUUCAGCCCUAUU